CUAAUACCGGAUGAGCCCUACGGGGGAAAGAUUUAUCGCCAUUGGAGCGGCCCGCGUCUGAUUAGCUAGUUGGUGAGGUAAAGGCUCACCAAGGCGACGAUCAGUAGCUGGUCUGAGAGGAUGAUCAGCCACACUGGGACUGAGACACGGACCAGACUCCUACGGGAGGCAGCAGUGGGGAAUCUUGCGCAAUGGGGGAAACCCUGACGCAGCCAUGCCGCGUGAAUGAUGAAGGUCUUAGGAUUGUAAAAUUCUUUCAGACAGGGACGAUAAUGACGGUACCUGCAGAAGAAGCCCCGGUCUAACUUUCGUGCCAGCAUCCUCGUUAAUACGAAGUGGGCUUAGUGUUGCUCGGAAUUACUGGGCGUAAAGGGCGUGUAGUCGGUUUGCUUUAGUUAGAGUUGUAAAGCUCAGGGCUCUAACCCUGUGAAUUUGCCUUUAAUACUGUCAGCCUUGAUUAUGGCAGAGUUGUGUGGAACUCCGAGUGUUAUGAGGUGAAAUUCUUAGAUAUUCGGAAGUACACCAGUGGCGAAGGCGACACACUGGGCCAUUACUGACGCUGAGGCGCGAAAGCGUGGGGAGCUAACA
rnacentral:rRNA from 1 species